rnacentral:rRNA from 1 species
AGAGUUUGAUCCUGGCUCAGGAUGAACGCUAGCUACAGGCUUAACACAUGCAAGUCGAGGGGCAGCAUGUUGGUUGCUUGCAACCAAUGAUGGCGACCGGCGCACGGGUGAGUAACGCGUAUCCAACCUACCCUUGUCCAUCGGAUAACCCGUCGAAAGGCGGCCUAACACGAUAUGCGGUUCUCAGCAGGCAUCUAACGAGAACGAAAUGUGAAGGAGAAGGAUGGGGAUGCGUCUGAUUAGCUUGUUGGCGGGGUAACGGCCACAAGGCGACGAUCAGUAGGGGUUCUGAGAGGAAGGUCCCCCACAUUGGAACUGAGACACGGUCCCAAACUCCUACGGGAGGCCA